rnacentral:lncRNA from 1 species
AACCAGAUGGUGUCUGAGGGUCAGAUUCAGCAUAAGGAAUCUGGUCGUCACAAAUCUCGUAGUCCUGGAUGGAUUCAGUAGAUCUAGCAGGAGAGGGUGUUUCGUUCAGAUUGUAGAGCCAGUUGUUGCGGUUGUGAACACUAGUCCUCGGGCUAGGCAAGGUGAAUAGGCACAGAACUUGGUUGUUAAUUAUAAGCUCAAAC